rnacentral:rRNA from 1 species
GUGGGGAAUAUUGGGCAAUGGGCGCAAGCCUGACCCAGCCACGCCGCGUGAGUGAUGAAGGCCUUCGGGUCGUAAAGCUCUGUGGGGAGGGACGAAACCUCGCAAGUGAAUAAUGCGCGAGCUGACGGUACCUCCUUAGCAAGCACCGGCUAACUCCGUGCCAGCAGCCGCGGUAAUACGGAGGGUGCAAACGUUGCUCGGAAUCAUUGGGCGUAAAGCGCACGUAGGCGGUUCGUCAAGUCGGGUGUGAAAGCCCUCGGCUCAACCGAGGAAGUGCAUCCGAAACUAGCGAGCUUGAGUACUGGAGAGGGUGACGGAAUUCCCGGUGUAGAGGUGAAAUUCGUAGAUAUCGGGAGGAACACCAGCGGCGAAGGCGGUCACCUGGACAGAUACUGACGCUGAGGUGCGAAAGCGUGGGGAGCAAACAGGAUUAGAAACCCUAGUAGUCC